UACGUAGGGCGCAAGCGUUGUCCGGAAUUAUUGGGCGUAAAGAGCUCGUAGGCGGCCUGUUGCGUCCGCCGUGAAAUCCCGGGGCUCAACCCCGGGCCUGCAGUGGAUACGGGCUGGCUAGAGGCAGGCAGGGGAGAACGGAAUUCCUGGUGUAGCGGUGAAAUGCGCAGAUAUCAGGAGGAACACCGGUGGCGAAGGCGGUUCUCUGGGCCUGUACUGACGCUGAGGAGCGAAAGCGUGGGGAGCGAACAGG
rnacentral:rRNA from 1 species